rnacentral:tRNA from 1 species
GGAGAGGUGUCCGAGUGGUCGAUGGUGCCUGACUCGAAAUCAGGUGUACGUUUGCGCGUACCUAGGGUUCGAAUCCCUACCUCUCCGCCA